AUGGCAGAAGUAGAGCAGAAGAAGCAGACCUUCCGCAGGUUCACCUACCGUGGCGUGGACCUGGACCAGCUGCUGGACAUGUCCUACAAGCGGCUGAUGCCGCUGUACAGUGCGCGCCAGCAGCGGCGGCUGAACCGGGGCCUGCGGCGGAAGCAGCACUCCCUGCUGAAGUGCCUGCGCAAGGCCAAGAAGGAGGCGCUGCCCAUGGAGAAGCCGGAAGUGGUGAAGACGCACCUGCGUGACGUGAUCAUCCUGCCCGAGAUGGUGGGCAGCAUGGUGGGCGUCUACAACGGCAAGACCUUCAACCAGGUGGAGAUCAAGCCCGAGAUGAUCGACCACUACCUGGGCGAGUUCUCCAUCACCUACAAGCCCAUAAAGCACGGCGGGCCCGGCAUCGGGGCCAGCCACUCCUCCCGCUUCAUCCCUCUCAAG
rnacentral:lncRNA from 1 species